UCAAGCUAAUAAGAGCGCAAGGGGAAUGCCUUGGCAUCAGGAGCCGAUGAAGGACGCGAUAAGCUGCGAUAAGCUUCGGGGAGCUGCAAAUGAGCUACGAUCCGGAGAUUUCCGAAUGGGGAAACCCACCGCAAGGUAUCCUAUACUGAAUCAAAUAGGUAUAGGAGGGGAACCGCCUGAACUGAAACAUCUAAGUAGGGCGAGGAAAAGACAUCAACCGAGAUUCCGCGAGUAGUGGCGAGCGAAAGCGGAGGAGGCCAAACCGAAGGUAGCAAUAUCUUCGGGGUUACGGACAGCAUCAUCUGAAACAAUUCCUAGUUGAACGGCAUGGGAAGGCCGGCCACAGAGUGUGACAGCCACGUAAACGAAAGGGAUUGCGAAGUAGCUGGAUCCAGAGUACCGCGGGACACGAGGAAUCCCGUGGGAAGUCGGGGGGACCACCCUCCAAGCCUAAAUACUACCUGAUGACCGAUAGAGGAGCAGUACCGUGAGGGAAAGGUGAAAAGAACCCCGGGAGGGGAGUGAAAUAGUACCUGAAACCUUGUGCUUACAAGCAGACAUAGCUCGUUAAUGAGUGGUGUCGUACUUUUUGUAGAACGGUCCGGCGAGUUAUAGUAACUGGCGAGCUUAAGGUAUUGAGUACCGGAGGCGCAGGGAAACCGAGUGUUAAGAGCGCGUAUAAAGUCAGUUGCCAUAGACCCGAAACCAGGUGACCUAGCCAUGCCCAGGCUGAAGUGGAGGUAAAGCUCCAUGGAGGGCCGAACCCACGUUCGUUGCAAUGACCGGGGAUGAGGUGUGGCUAGCGGUGAAAUUCCAAACGAACUUGGAGAUAGCUGGUUCUCCCCGAAAUAGUUUUAGGACUAGCGUUGGAUAUGAGUUUAACGGCGGUAAAGCACUGAAUGGGCUAGGGGGCGAUAAGCUUACUGAACCCUAUCAAACUAAGAAUGCCGUAUAAAUGCUUACCAGCAGUCAGACUGCGAGUAAUAAAAUCCGUAGUCAAAAGGGAAACAGCCCAGAUCUACAGCUAAGGUCCCUAAUACAUGCUAAGUGGAAAACGAUGUGAGAUUGCGAAAACAACCAGGAUGUUGGCUUAGAGGCAGCCACUCGUUCAAAGAGUGCGUAAUAGCUCACUGGUCGAGUGAUCUUGCGCGGAAAAUUUAACGGGGCUAAGCAUGUAACCGAAGCUUAGGGUUUACGCUUUGCGUAAGCGGUAGGGGAGCGUCGAAUGCGGGGUGAAGUCAUACCGUAAGGAAUGGUGGACUGCAUUCGAGUGAGAAUGCCGGAAUGAGUAGCGAGAAUUAUGUGGGAAUCAUAAUGGCCGAAAAUCUAAGGUUUCCUGGGGAAGGUUCGUCCGCCCAGGGUAAGCCGGGAGCUAAGGCGAGGCCGAAAGGCGUAGUCGAUGCACAUACGGUAGAAAUUCCGUAGCCGGUUCAAUUGUUAAUCACAGUGACACAUGAGUGUAGCUCUACCGGGCGUUGGUUGCCCCGGGCGUAAGCGAGCCGAGUGAGGCGAAGUGAGUAAAGCUUGUGGCGAGAAAAGCUGUGUGUAUUGGUUGAACUGCCCGUACCGCAAACCGACACAGGUAGAUGAGGAGAAGAUCCUAAGGCCAUCGGGAGAAGGGUUGUUAAGGAACUAGGCAAAUUGACCCCGUAACUUCGGGAGAAGGGGUGCCUACGAGAGUAGGUCGCAGAGAAUCGGCCCAAGCAACUGUUUACCAAAAACACAGGUCUCUGCUAAAUCGAAAGAUGACGUAUAGGGGCUGACGCCUGCCCGGUGCUGGAAGGUUAAGAGGAGGACUUAGCGCAAGCGAAGGUCUGAAUUGAAGCCCCAGUAAACGGCGGCCGUAACUAUAACGGUCCUAAGGUAGCGAAAUUCCUUGUCAGGUAAG
rnacentral:rRNA from 1 species